GGAUAUAGCUCAGUGGUGGAGCAUAUGCUUAGCAUGCUUGAGGUCUUGGGUUCAAUACCCAGUAUGUUCA
rnacentral:tRNA from 1 species